rnacentral:misc_RNA from 1 species
UCUCCGUUGGUGAACCAGCGGAGGGAUCAUUACCGAGUUUACAACUCCCAAACCCAAUGCGAACCACACCAAACUGUUGCCUCGGCGGGGUCACGCCUCGGGUGCGUCGCAGCCCCGGAACCAGGCGCCCGCCGGAGGGACCAACCAAACUCUUUCUGUAGUCCCCUCGCGGACGUUAUUUUUACAGCUCUGAGCCAAAAUUCAAAAUGAAUCAAAACUUUCAACAACGGAUCUCUUGGUUCUG